rnacentral:lncRNA from 1 species
GCGGCCGCCGCUGCGGCACUAGCUACGGGACGAGCCGGAGCGCUUGGCCAUGGUGGCCCAAUCCGCACUGGCGCUGCUGCUGCUGCUGCCGGUCCUGCUCCUGCCGGUGCAGAGCCGCUCAGAGCCCGAGACCACCGCGCCCACCCCUACCCCAACCCCGGGUGGCAACUUGUCAGUGAGCAGGCCCCUGCCCAGCAUCGAGCUCCACGCCUGCGGCCCAUACCCCAAGCCAGGCCUGCUCAUCCUGCUGGCCCCGCUGGCCCUGUGGCCCAUUCUCCUGUAGGGACGCCCAGCCAGCCACCUCUAGGCCACCGCUGGGACUGGCCUGCCCCAUUGAGCAACAGAGACGCUUGAGAGCCGCCCGCCUCCAUUCCUUGACUUCACUCAGAAAUGGGUCCAGAAAGCAGAAUCCCACCAGGACUGGUUUGGAGCAACCGGAGACCGAGGUUUGACCUCCAGGGAUUCCAUGAAGAGCCUCAAUGGAGAUGCCACAUCCUACUGAGUUAAAGAUGGGCUGAGGAACUUGGGUACCCACAAGUCUGCCUUGGGAAUCAAAAGAAAAUAUUUACCUUUAGUUUGGUUCAUUAAAUGCAUGAAGUCAAAAUAUGA